GUCUUAUGCCCAUGUCUGGAACUGGAGUGGGAUCGGCCACAUUGAAAGAACACAGCCUGAGGGCAGGGAAGCUAUUGAGCCCCAGAGAGAAGUUAAAGUACUUUUCAUGAAAGAUCAUUGUCUGUUAAGACCCCAUCGCAGAGAAGUUAAAGAGCUUCAAUCACCAUGCUUUCAGGGUCAAUUUGUCUCCGAAAAGGAACAGAUGGGGAAGAAUUAUUCCAUUCACAGUUGACUUGUCAGAAAUUCCAAGAUCUUGGACUGGCUGAAAGCAAUGAUGUUGCCAUUCAUCCUUUCACGUAUUCAUUAUGGUCUACAGCUGAGAAGGGCUAUUUGGGGUUUGCUUUGCCUGAUGGUAGCAGAAGAAAACCAAGAGGCCUCUCUACGAAAGCUUGCAGUAAGGAGAAAGUUCUGGAGACUGGGAAGAGCAACACAAAGAUAUUCAGUUGCUUGGUGAGAGCUGCUCUCUGCUUCCAAGGCGGCACCUUGUUGCUGCAUUCUCCAAUGGGAAGGAACGCUGGGUCCUCACAUGACAGAAGGUGGAAAGGCAGAGAUCUGGGAACCUGAUGUGGGAAGAAAUCUCAUCUGUGACCACGAUUUUGUCAGGAGUCACGGGAUUCUAUAGCUGCAGCAAACCUGGAGCAAACUGGUCCCCACCAAUCUGGGUGAGACAAACCAAUGAUGACUGAAAAUCACAAUAAAAUUGUAAUACUCGAGAUCUCAAA
ensembl:lncRNA LINC01435 long intergenic non-protein coding RNA 1435